GUGUGUUGUGUUGCCGUGUGUUGUGAUCCCGUGUGUUGCCACGCGUUGCCGUGUUGCCGUGUGUUGCCAGGACGAGACACGGGGUGGAGGAGGAGGAGGAGAGACGGUGUGAGGGAAGAGGAGGAAGAAAGGAGUGAGGGAAGAGGAGGAGGAAGAGAAACAUAGUAAGGGAAGAGGAGGAGGAACCGAGGAAGGCAGAUAAGAGGAAGAGGAAGGGAAGCAGGAGUGGGUGGAGAGUUUGCAGAGCUGAUGAGUGGGAGUAAAACUUGACUGGUGUGUAUAGCAAGUACUGAAACAACUUACAGGAGGGAAACUACGUGUGUGUGGGGGGGGGGGGGAUUCCCUCAGCAGCAACACGCCCUGGGGAAGGCAAGGAAGAGGACGGGCCAAGGAGGACGAGGACACACAUGACGUUUAGAAGAAGUUUGGUGUCCUGAAGUCAACAUUCCAGCGGGAGGUUAGGAAAAUUCAUAACACUCCCAGCGGUUCUGGUGGUUCUGUUGAACCAAAGUGGGAAUAUUUUAAGACUUGUUUUUUCAUGCUCCCACUAAACAUCAGUGAACCUACGAGGCCAUCCCGUACCAUCAAUAAUUUGGAGACCUGGCCAAGCACUAUAACCCUUUCUGCUGAUGAGGACAGUGUACCCUCCACGAGGUGUUUAGAAGUUAAAGGUCUUCCUUGAUGAGCUACAAUGAGCACCUCCUGACACCAUCAUCAACUGCGACUCCACCUGAUGCUGCGAAUGUCUCGUACGUGCCUGUUCCCUCAACAUCAUCUGGUCGAUCGGAAUCCUGCUCACCCACACUGCCACCAAGAAAGAAGAGGAGAAAGGCACUACAAGAAAAUUUUAAUGAAACACUGGCUUAAGUAAAUACUGUGCUAGGGAAUCAUUCAGGCAAUAUUGUGUAGGCAACAACAGAUUAUAUCAGUGGUUUUAUGUGGUUAUUAUCCGAAAAACAACAGCGUAAAUUUGCUAAAA